rnacentral:rRNA from 1 species
AACGUAGGAGACAAACGUUUAUCCGGAGUUACUGGGCGUAAAGGGCGUGUAGGUGGUUUCGUAAGUCUGGCGUGAAAUUUCUCGGCUUAACCGAGGCAGGUCGUCGGAUACUGCGGAACUUGAGGACGGUAGAGGCGUGUGGAAUUCCGGGUGUAGUGGUGAAAUGCGUAGAGAUCCGGAGGAACACCAGUGGCGAAGGCGACACGCUGGGCAGUGGCUGACGCUGAGGCGCGACAGCGUGGGGAGCAAACAGG